rnacentral:rRNA from 1 species
UACGUAGGGUGCAAGCGUUAAUCGGAAUUACUGGGCGUAAAGCGUGCGCAGGCGGCUCUGCAAGACAGAUGUGAAAUCCCCGGGCUUAACCUGGGAACUGCAUUUGUGACUGGCAAGCUAGAGUAUGGCAGAGGGGGGUAGAAUUCCACGUGUAGCAGUGAAAUGCGUAGAGAUGUGGAGGAAUACCGAUGGCGAAGGCAGCCCCCUGGGCCAAUACUGACGCUCAUGCACGAAAGCGUGGGGAGCAAACAGG